rnacentral:tRNA from 1 species
AAGGCUCAGUGGUAGACCAUCUGCUUUGCAUACAGAAGGUUCCAAGUUCAACCCUUGGCAUCUCUA